CCUGAACAUUGCUUGAGAAGGUUCUUUUCUCAUCGCCGGCCCAGGACAUCUCCCCUUCCUACCCUGCAUCGACAUCGACUGCAGCUGUGAAUGCUGUGUUUAACAGUUGAAAGAAGCACUGGCAGAAAUGGGAAGAUUUUUACUUUGCUCAAAAAAAGUGAAACUGAGGCAAAAAUGAUGGUUGCUAACAAACUAGAUAAAAUACAGCAAGCUACAAACAAAAUAAGAGAGUGGGAGGUGAAUAUACAACAAGAGGAGAUUUUGAAAAUAUCUCUAAAACAAUUAAAAAAGAAGUCGGAACAUCUGAGAAAAAAAUGAGUGAAAGAUUUUAAAACUUUUACCAUCACAUGCUUAGAAUCAGUACAAACACAGCAACAGCUGAUGAAAUACUGAGAGGCUUUCCUAUUUGAAGCCAAAGCUAUUGCCUAGCAAUAACUAUUCCCAUAGAUCUUUUGCAAAGGAGAAGGAGGCCAAGCACUGAAGGAAGGGGAGAAGGAGGAAAUGGAAGUGGAUAUAAAAAGAAUUAAGAUGUGUUAUGUCAAGUACCAACUCCUCAUGAUAAAUGUAAUCAUUAUGUACUGCAAACAUGUACCAAUAAAAAUAAAAAUUAAAAAAUUGAUGAGACAAGAGAGAAAAAGAAGUUGUUGGACAUUGGUUCCAUUUAUUCUGAACUUCACAGUGAAAUCACUUAAAACCAUUUAAGUAAGUCACUUCAAGAGCAGAAGUAAAUGAAUGAACAAAAUAGUAACAUGUGGCCAGAAGUUCAAGGAAAUCUAGUGUAAAAUGGGAAUUAACAUCCAAUUCAUUUUAAAAUUCAAUCACACCUGUGAGCAUUGGUAUGUACCUAGCAUUAGAGACAGAAAUAAAUAAGACAUAUCUCCUACAGAAUGUGCAUUGACAUUCUAGCCAGGGAGACAGAUAUGACAACAAAUAAAUCACAAUUUCUUACAAUAAUCAUUUUAACAUGAAAUAUCUGAAUGAGACAGGAGAAAAAGCAAUAAAUUUGUUUUGGAAGUCUUAGUGAAUUUAGGAUGCCCAAGAAAUCCCUAGGAUAUCUAAGUAAGGUUUUGAAGGACAAAUAGGAGUUUAUCAAACUGAAACAUAAAGAAAAGUAGUCUAGUCAGAGAGGACAGCACUUGGAGAGUCUUGAAAGCAAAAAUGAGCAAACAAACAGAAAAGCCAGUGGGGUCUGUAGAGGUCUGAUAGUUGCUUAAAGACUAUCUGAAUGCAUACAUCGGUUGUGUACACAUCUAUGAGGAAUCAAUGUCUUCUUUAGCUUACAGCCACAGAGAAUGUUUAGGGUUCAUUACUAGCAAUCCUUUCCUUCUUGCAUUCUUGAUCUAUUUCCUAAAGAAUGAGUCAAGUCAAUCGAAACUGUGUGCAUAUGGAUAUAUAUUAUGGAAAGAAUAACACAGGAGGAAAGGAGUCUUAUAAAUGUCACAGCAUUGUCCACUUCUGCUUGAUAUAUGAAAUAACAUAAAUUCACUGCUCUCAUAAAUUUAGAGAGAAGUCCAACUUUAGGGUCUAUUUACAAGGGCUAUUUGACUUGGUGAACAAAGCAUUCUCAUUUGCUCUGGAGGCCUUUUUAUAACUGCAUUAUUAGGUUCUUAUGGAAUAGAUUUGGUGGUCUAAGUCCUUGGUGGAUUGGGAUACACCACAGAACUUCAAAGCCAGCUUGUGUGCUUUUCGCUUUGCCUGCUUUGUCUGGCAGUGCUAUCUGGCAGACCCUAGAGAAAGUUGGCACUGGCCUGCUGCAUAUUUCCUUGCUAACAACCUAGUUCUCCUCCAUUAGUCUUUUUCCAUUACCUUUGCAUCAGUCUCAGGGCCUUGGUUCUCUCCUAUCGAACUCACCCAAAAUUCAGGUCUCAUUUUCUCUGAGGUCUAAGGCAGCUUCUGGGAAACCAGCAAAGCUGCUAUCCUGGCCUCCCUCUCCCCUCCCAUUGCCACACAUACAAUGGACCCAUUUCAUGUGUGUUUGGAAUGGUAGUGACAUUCUCCACUGAGGCUGACACUUUCAGGGAAAAAGUAUGUGUCUUGACACUUGAGGCUAGAGGACUCCCCUUCCCAAGGUUAGCUGAGCCCUAGAGGUAGCAAACGACUCAAUUCUAAAAUGCAAACCAGGAAAGAGAACCCCAUCCACUCAACCACCCCCUCUAACACACUGUCACUAUCCAGGCCACUGUGUACCCCAGCUGGACCAUACAACUAGGGACAGCCUAUGCAGCCUAGAGCUUGCCAAAAUUAUCCAGACUAGAAAAUUCUAAACCUGCUGACUUUGCUCAGUCCUUCCUGAAAAACCACAAUAAAGGCUGUUUCUCCCUUUCCCCCUCACUCCCUUUGCCCCCUGACUGACCUAGUGCUUCCCCAUGUGGCCCAGUUUCUAGGUGUUUAUGAGUAUAAUGAGUUUCUUUCUUCUUGACUGUCAUUUCCAUGUCUGUAUGUCUUACCAUCCCUGAUUAAAACAGAUCCAAGUAUACUCUGUGUGUGUACACAAACAUGAACACAUGGCAUGCACGCAAGGAUACACAAAUCUGCAAUGUUUAAGAAGCACCGUCUUCGGCUUACUUUUCUUAAGCACCAGUCUUUCCACAGACAUGCACAGCAGACACUAGUCUUCCUGAUGCUUAUGUCUUUGUACUGAAUCAUAACAUCUGAUUCUCACUGUAAGUGUAUCAGGAUUACUACCCUGAGAACCUAUUUUUGGGUCCAAAGAGAUGAUAUUAAAGAAGUCAAUUGUGUUGUUAUAGCUUAACAAUCAAGAAAUUUCACAGAGAAUUUAUAGCUGCCUUUGGUGGUCUUAGCAUCUUACAGCAAAGACCUACCUGGCUUGUGUGACAGUGUGGGAAGAGGCAGUGACUACUGGUUAAGGCCUCUGAGGGGCUUCUAGGGUUGACAGUGAUGGGACUGCUGAGAAAAAUGAUGCUAACGUUCCACCAAGUCCUAAGGCACUGGCACUGUUUUGUCCUAAGCAGAUGAGUCCAAGAGAAGCUUUGGAAAUGAGAAGCCAGUUCCCUUUGAAGAUGAAAAACAAUAAUUAAAAUAAUUUACAUGCUCAUUUUGCCAAACUCCUUCCUCAGUUCUCACUAGCCACCUAGGGUUUGUGCCACAGGGGAUUUUAAGGCCUUCUGCCCACUGUCUUCACUAGGAGAAGUUUCCAGAGAAUACAGUUGGUCCAGGAGAGCAGCAUGGCUCUUCCAACAUAAGACUGUCUCCCAGGUUUCAGGGAGGCUGGAGGCUACACUCCUGUUGCAAUGCUGUUCCACGGUUAAGUUUUUGUUAAUUACUGUCUCCUCUGUUGUGUGGUCCUUGAGAACAAAGGUCAGGGACCAACAGCAGAUAUGCUGAAAGAGUAAGGAUGACCUCAUAGCCUUCUCCAUAGCCACUGCUCAGGGAUCCACAUCUGAAUUCUUGGGAUAGUUCUGGUCCAUCCCUGGGAGAUAAGAGCCUGGGGCAACCUUCUGGAAAGCAUGUGUUUUUUCUCUAGUGUGGAGGUUGGUGGAGAAGAAAGGAAAUCAAAAUUUACUAGGGGUCCACCUUUUGCUUUCUACUAUACAUAGAUUAUUUCAACAAAAAUCCAUACAACAAAUGGGAUAGAAAUUAUCACUGGCUUUGAGAUGUGAAAAUCAGUUUCAGAAAGGCCAAUAUUUUGCUUAAUGUCACAUAACUGGUAAGUGACACAGCCAGAUUCAAAGCUGACUCUGGGGCUUAUACCAAUCACACCAUGCUAGUGUUUCUCAAAGCAGGGUCAGCACUACUUGGAGCUAGUUAGAGAUGCACUUUCUGAGGUUUCUCCCAAAUCCACUGAGUCAGGACCUCUAGAGUGGAGUCCACCAGUCUGGCUUUUAACAAGUCCUCUGGGUGACUCUGAUGGACACCUUACCAUACUCUGUCUUCUUGUUUUUCUCUUUCCAAGGACAGACUUUGAAGCUUGACAAACCAGAAGGCCUCUUUCUGAUUAGGCAACCAUGGUUAAGUUGAUAUCUUUCAAUUUCUAUGUCCUCAUGAGUAAAAUAAGAAUAAUAAUAUCUCAAGGUUAAUGCUGAGAUUAAAGAUUAAAUGAGUUGACAACUUGGUACAGCAUGUGGCAAAGAAAAAACCAUAAAUAAUUGCUAUUACUGUAACUACUAUCAUUCACUUUCCUUUCUUUUUGCCAUACCAGGUUUAAAUCCAAUCCCCAGAAGGAGGAAAAGCAGUACUGUGGACCCUCAAGCUAUGACCAGCCUCACAUACAAACAACUUGGGUUACAAGUGGAAUUUUAGUUUUAACUUAUGAGCAGUCUUGAGUUACAAUCUGAAUGCUGGCCGCUUGUGCUUCCAGAUGAUCUCAGACACAGAUUUAACCCUUAAAGAGCUCUGGAAGGAACAUUACAACAUCCUUUCCAGUGUCGGGUUGAGAAAUCCUGGGCCAAUGUCUCUCUAAGGACAGAGAUCUGCUUAUACAUAGGAGAGAGACUUUGAAGGCUGUGUAGAGGAACCCUAACCUUCAAUUGACUAACUUGAGUUACAAACAGCCCUUGGGAAUGAAUUAAGUUCGUAAGUAGAGUGUCCACUGUAUUUUAUAGCACCAUAAACCUGGGAAAGUUAUACAAACUCUGAGCCCAUUUUCUACUCUACCAAAUGGAGAUAAUCCUAGUACUGUCUUAGUCACUUUCUUUUUGGCAAGCCACAAUGCCUGACAUUCUCAACUUAAAGGAGGAAAAGUUUAGUUUGGCUUGCAGUUUUAGAAAUUGCAAUCUAUGCUUGGCUGGCUCAUAUGCUGAAACAGCAUGGUGGAAGAGAAUGCUUUGAAAGAAAGCUGCUCACAUCAUGGAAGCCAGGAAGCAGAGAGAGAAGGGAGGAGGCCAGGAGGGAGAUAUAACCUUGCAGGCCACGUUCUCUCUUCUGACCAGGUUCCACCUCCUAAAAGUAAGGCAGCUCUAACACCCCUAUAAUCCAAUCACCUUCCAAACAAGUGAGGCUAUGGGGGUCAUUUUAGAUCCAAACCAUAACAUGCUACCUCACUGAAUACUUCUGAGGGAUAAAUAGACUAAGGCAUGUAAAGCAUCUUAGAAUAGUGCAUGGGACACAGUAAGCUCAAUUAACAUUAGCUGUGAUAAGGAUGACUCUCACAUUAGCCCAUUGGUCCACACUUUUUGGCAGCUCUCUGAUUGCCCAGAAAGUGGUGGAAAAAAGCAGCAUCUCCAGCAAGAGGACCUCCCUGUCCCACCAAGAAGGUGAUACUUUCUUCUCAUUAUGCACAGAUCUCCAUCAUGUUACAUAUCCCACUGCCUGAUCCACUUGUGUCUCUUCACUGUAUCUCUUGUACAAAUGAGUGUUUCACAAAUGCUUGUCAAUAAAGGAGUGCUGAUCUGCAAUCACAGUUGAUACAUGCCACCCAUGCUAGGCAGAAUAAUGGCCUCCUAAAGAUGUCCACAUCCUAAUUCCUGGGGUCUGUGAACAUGUUAGAAUAUGUGACACAGGGGGAACUAAGGUUGUAGAUGGAAUUAAGGCUGCUAAACAGAUUAUCCUGAAUUAUCUAUGUGGGCCCAGUGUAACCACCAAGAUAUUUAACAAGAGAAUCAUAAAGAACCACAGUAAUGCAAUCUGAGGUGGGCCUGGCUUGAGGGGGAUGUCUUUGAAGGUAGAGCAAGGAGUGGCUUCUAGAAGCUAGGAAAGGUAAGAGAAAAAGAUCUCCCCAAAGAUUCCAAACUUUGCAGCUUGGCCUACACCUUGAUUUUAACCCAGUAAGGACUAUUUUGAAAUUGUGGCCUCCAGAGCUUUAACUUGUGCAGUUUCAAGGCACUAAGUUUGUGAUCACUUGUUAUAGCAGCCAUAGGAAACUAAUACUUCACCCCUGGCUCCACCUUUAUAAUUAGUUUAUAACUGGCUCUUUUUCAUUAUUUAGCCUAACUGCCUCAUUCUUCUGUUUUUACAGCAUUAUUCUCCUUAGGAUGCUAGGGCAUUGUCCUAAUUACUUUUCUCAUUGCUGAGACAAAAUACCAGACACCCAAAAUUAAAGGAGGAAAGGUUUAUUGUAGCUCACAGUAUGUAGAUGUUUUAGCCCAUGGUUGGCUGGCUCCAAGGCAGGAUAGCACAGCAGGCAGACAGGAGACAGUGAAAGAGCAAGCAGUAGCAGCAAGUAACAGCAGCAGCCCCCUUUCUGUCCCUUAUAUUCUAUACACACUACAGGCCCUUAGAGUGGGUAGCACUCACACCCAGGGUGGGGCACCCUUAAUCCUAGCAUUACAUCAUUAAUCCCAGGAUCACAUUUUUAAUCCCAGCACCACAGACCCUAGAUCCAGCUACCUCCUGAAAGCCCUACCUAUGACUGUAUGAGGCUUUGGGGCCACAUCUAGACACACUCCAUAACAGGCAUCAAAAAGGAUUUUCCACUAUAUAAUUAUGAUCUGAGAGUGACCUCAUAGACACAUGCUUAAAAUCUUCAACCCAAGGUCUAAGGCAGCAGGAUAUGACACCUGGGUCCUCACCAGUGGGACCACGAGCUAUUCAUGUGCAGCCUUUGAACUCAGCCUCUGGUAACUCCCCAGAGAGGUGCAAAAAAGCAGUUAUUCCAGAGGUUCUCCCUCCCCAGCACCCCCAUCUGCCUGCAUUCUGUUGGGCAGAAACCACUCAAAGGGGAUCCAGCCCCUCCUUUAUACCAACUCAAGGAAGAACAAAUGUGGCUCUGUCAGUGAGUGGGAGAUCAAAGAGGCAUCACUCCCCAUCCCAGCGAGGCAGUUUUGGAGAACAGGAGAGCCCACUAAGCACCACUCUUCCUCUAUGGGGCUGAUGACCACCUCCUCCUGCCUUUUCACCUUGGCCUCUCAGGACUUGAUCUUGACCUCUUCCAAAGUUUUCAAAAUAGAUAGGAGAGUCCAAAGGUUUCUAAUACAUGCAAAUGAUAAAUGCUUGAGAACAUGGGAAUACUAAUGACCAUGAUUUGAUCAUUACACAUUUUAUAUAUAUGUGUAUAUAUAUAUAUAUGUAUGUAUUGAAAAAUCACACUGUACCCCACAAAUAUGUACAAAUAUUAUGUGUUAAUUGAAAAGUAAAAAUUAUAGACAUUUGAACAUGUUUUAAAAUAUUAUAGUAUAUUUUAAAUAUUUAAAUUUAAUAUCUUAACAUGUUUAAUUCAGAAAAAAGAAUUCAACAUAAUGAAGUUAAUCACAAGAAAUGAAAGAUUUAGAAAAAUGUAAAUUGGUGGUGCACUAGAGGACUGUAGGCUGCAGACGGGAUACCUUGCAUGGAUAUGCUGAACAUCUUUGAAUAGUGCCCAUUCAUCCCGAUGGCUGUAUGAAGCCUGCGGCUUGGAGAUAGAGUUAGGAGUAGAACAGGAGCCUCACUGUGGAUGAGAGCCCUCAGCCAAGUGGCCCUCCUGUCCCACACCCUCUCCAUAUCAGCUCUGCCAUUACCUUUCCUUAGGGCUUGAAAUGGUUAUAAGAUCGCUCUGUUUCCACCAGGAAUAACAGUGAGUAAUUUAGUGACGACCUCUUAUGAUGAGCUGGAAGAAGGUGGAAGAAGCAUGCCACUCCCAGGAAAAAGGGAACUAGGACUGAGAUGGACUGACAGCCUGCAGUAUGCAGACUCCAGAUCUGGAUUCUCUCCAGCUGGUCAUUAAUUCCAGGAAAUGUUAAUUCCUGGUCAUUAAUUCUAGGUUGUCUUAGGGACAUAAACUUGCAAAAACAUAGCUCUCAGGUGGAGUUCAGGAAGUUUUUCAGUGUAGUUCUAGUCUCUGCAGAGAGGGUAAUUGCUGGGGAGUAGCUCUCCAGUGCCAGAGGAGAAAGCUCUCCCUAUCUUUAUGUGUUCCAUUGCUUCUGGUAAUCCGAGUUUAGGGAGGUGUGUGGUGUCUGUUAGCUCUACUGACCCAGGAGAGGCCUAGGACCAAUCAGAGCCAUGGUCUGUUUUUCAGGCUGACAUAAAUGUAUAGAAGUCUCCCAGUGCUUUACUUAAGGCACUAACAUGAAAUUGAGAGGUCUCUUCCUUGCUUCACAUCACAAUGGGGUUGGCUGUCACUGAAUAUUUUUAUUAGUUUGGGCAAAAAAGUAACAAUAUCAGAAAAUCGUCUAUCCCAGCAUUGGAAACUCUCUCUUGUCUGAAAUGUUUAUGAUCCUCUUUUCUAAUUGUACAAACUUUAGGAAACCACUUUUACAUUGCCCAGUUCUUGUUGGACAAAACAGAGCAGCUGCUGGUACUUGUUUGCUAAUGGAAAGGAAGUUAUACAUGAAUAAAUCCUCCUUGGUUCCAAGUAUAAUGAGCCUAAGGGAGUGAUCUGAAACAAUUACCCCUCCUUCCUUCCUUUCCUUCCCUCCCUCCCUCACCCCUUCCUCCUUCC
ensembl:lncRNA